rnacentral:misc_RNA from 1 species
GAUGAAGAACGCAGCGAAAUGCGAUAAGUAAUGUGAAUUGCAGAAUUCAGUGAAUCAUCGAAUCUUUGAACGCACAUUGCGCCCCCUGGUAUUCCGGGGGGCAUGCCUGUUCGAGCGUCAUUUCACCACUCAAGCCUCGCUUGGUAUUGGGCAACGCGGUCCGCCGCGUGCCUCAAAUCGACCGGCUGGGUCUUCUGUCCCCUAAGCGUUGUGGAAACUAUUCGCUAAAGGGUGCUCGGGAGGCUACGCCGUAAAACAAACCCAUUUCUAAGGUUGACCUCGGAUCAGGUAGGGAUACCCGCUGAACUUAAGCAUAUCAAAAGCGGAGGA